rnacentral:rRNA from 1 species
CCUACGGGUGGCAGCAGUAGGGAAUCUUGCUCAAUGGGGGAAACCCUGAAGCAGCAACGCCGCGUGGAGGAUGAAGGUCUUCGGAUUGUAAACUCCUUUUGUUAGAGAAGAUAAUGACGGUAUCUAACGAAUAACCACCGGCUAACUACGUGCCAGCAGCCGCGGUAAUACGGAGGGUGCAAGCGUUAUUCGGAAUCACUGGGCGUAAAGUGCGCGUAGGCGGGAUAGCAAGUCAGAUGUGAAAUCCUAUGGCUUAACCAUAGAAGUGCAUUUGAAACUGUGAGUCUAGAGUAUGGGAGAGGUAGGUGGAAUUCUAGGUGUAGGGGUAAAAUGCGUAGAGAUCAAGAGGAAUACUCAUGGCGAAGGCGACCUGCUAGAACAUAACUGACGCUGAUGCGCGAAAGCGUGGGGAGCAAACAGGAUUAGAUACCCGUGUAGUC